rnacentral:rRNA from 1 species
UACGUAGGGUCCGAGCGUUGUCCGGAAUUAUUGGGCGUAAAGGGCUCGUAGGCGGUUUGUCGCGUCGGGAGUGAAAACACGGGGCUUAACCCCGUGCCUGCUUCCGAUACGGGCAGACUAGAGGUAUGCAGGGGGAGAACGGAAUUCCUGGUGUAGCGGUGAAAUGCGCAGAUAUCAGGAGGAACACCGGUGGCGAAGGCGGUUCUCUGGGCAUUACCUGACGCUGAGGAGCGAAAGUGUGGGGAGCGAACAGG